rnacentral:rRNA from 1 species
AUUGAACGCUGGCGGCAUGCCUUACACAUGCAAGUCGAACGGUAACGGGCCUUCGGGUGCCGACGAGUGGCGAACGGGUGAGUAAUGCAUCGGAACGUACCUUUCAGUGGGGGAUAACGUAGCGAAAGUUACGCUAAUACCGCAUAUUCUGUGAGCAGGAAAGCAGGGGAUCGCAAGACCUUGCGCUGAUUGAGCGGCCGAUGUCAGAUUAGCUAGUUGGUGAGGUAAAGGCUCACCAAGGCGACGAUCUGUAGCGGGUCUGAGAGGAUGAUCCGCCACACUGGAACUGAGACACGGUCCAGACUCCUACGGGAGGCAGCAGUGGGGAAUUUUGGACAAUGGGGGCAACCCUGAUCCAGCCAUGCCGCGUGAGUGAAGAAGGCCUCGGGUU